GAUUGUGAUUCAUUUAUGGAAUCAUUAAGAGAAAUAACUUAAAAUUUUAAAUAAUUUAAAUUUAAGAAUUCCAAUUUUUUCUUUAUCUUUUUUUUGGAAACAAAAAUAAUUCUCGGUAAUCAUUUCAUUAUGUAACAGAUCAAAGUUCCUACGAAAUUAGCGCGAUAUCGG